rnacentral:rRNA from 1 species
GAACGCUGGCGGCGUGCCUAACACAUGCAAGUCGAGCGGACUACAUGAAGGGGUAACUCUUCAUGUAGUUAGCGGCGAACGGGUGAGUAACACGUGGGUAACCUACCCUCAGGUGGGGGAUAACUCGGGGAAACCUGAGCUAAUACCCCAUAAGACUACGGGCUGAAAGGCUUGUAGUAAAAGAAGCAAUUCGCCUGAGGAUGGGCCCGCGGCCUAUCAGGUAGUUGGUAGGGUAAUGGCCUACCAAGCCUAUGACGGGUAGCCGAGCUGAGAGGCUGGCCGGCCACACUGGGACUGAGACACGGCCCAGACUCCUACGGGAGGCAGCAGUGGGGAAUCUUGGGCAAUGGGCGAAAGCCUGACCCAGCGACGCCGCGUGGGGGAAGAAGGCCUUCGGGUUGUAAACCCCUUUUGCAGGGGACGACACAGGACGGUACCCUGCGAAUAAGCCACGGCUAACUCUGUGCCAGCAGCCGCGGUAAGACAGAGGUGGCGAGCGUUGCU